rnacentral:lncRNA from 1 species
UUGGAGUGCAGUGGCUCGGUCAUAGUUCACCGCAGCCUCAAACUCCCAACCUAAGACGAUCUUCCUGCCUCAGUCUCCAGAGCAGCUAGGACAACAGGUGCAUGCCAUCACACCCUGAUAAUUUUUUGUAUUUUUUUUUUUUUUUUUUUGGUAGAGACAAACUCUUGCUAUGUUGCCUAUGGUGGUCUCGAACUCCUGGUCUCAAGUGAUCCUCCUGCCUUGGCCUCCCAAAGCACUGUGAUUGCAAGCAUGAGCCACUGUGCCCAGCCCCAAGAAGCAGCAUGAGGUCUUCACCAGAAGGAGAAAAAUGUAAGAAUGUGUUAUAGUCUCUUCUAACUUGUAAAUUGGUAGCCAGACACUCUGACCAGAUGGCAACACCCCAGUGAAUAAGGUAAGCAAAGCUUUGUUACUAGAAAAAUCAAGAGAAAUAUGAAUGCCUUUGUGUCUAAUUUUUGAGACAAUAUAUUGUGAGUUUGAUGUCAUGAAAUAAAAUGUACAGCAAAAGUCAAUCUGUU